rnacentral:tRNA from 1 species
GGAGGAUUAGCUCAGCUGGGAGAGCACCUGCCUUACAAGCAGGGGGUCGGCGGUUCGAUCCUCAUCCUCCACCA